GGAGGUAGUUUUUAGUACGUAAGCGGCGUGGAUGUCGAAUCGUGCAUGCUGCUACUAAGAACCAGCAGUCUUUUGAAGAUUCUCUACCUCC
rfam:Glossina pallidipes unplaced genomic scaffold Scaffold64, whole genome shotgun sequence.